AACGGAUUUACUCUGCAUAUGAAUCUUGCCUCUGGAGAAGAACGUUUGAUUUACACUGACAAGCAACAAAACAGUGGAAAUGAUAUCUGGAUCGACUCUUCCUACAUGCCGAGUGAAUUGGUGAAAGAGGUUAUUAUAAGGGGUGAUAAUAUCAGUCAUGAAAGGAUAAUCAACCUUUGUGAAGUAUACGUUUUAGCAUGUAUUCCCUCAAAGAAUGGUGAGGCAGAUUGUAAUCAUUUGUUUCCCAAGAAUUGCCAUCCGUCAUUUGACAGAGCAAAUGACAACCUUAGCUGUCCAAUUUGUCUCUCAGGUUGGACUGGCAAUUAUUGUGAUAUA